rnacentral:rRNA from 1 species
UUAAGCUAUAAAGAGCGCAGGGUGGAUGCCUUGGCACUAAGAGCCGAUGAAAGACGUGAUAAGCUGCGAAAAGCUUCGGGGAGGAGCAAAUAUCCUUUGAUCCGGAGAUAUCUGAAUGGGGAAACCCGGCUGAGCAAACCUCAGUCACUGCAUGGUGAAUCCAUAGCCAUGCAGAGGGAACCCGGUGAACUGAAACAUCUAAGUAGCCGGAGGAAGAGAAAGAAACAUCGAUUCCCAAAGUAGCGGCGAGCGAAAUGGGAAGAGCCCAAACCAGCGUGCGUGCAUGCUGGGGUUAAGGACUGCAAACGUGAACCGAUUUGUUAGUGGAACUGUCUGGGAAGUCAGGCCAGAGAGGGUGAAAGCCCCGUACACGAAAGCAAUAGGAAGCAGCAGGAUCCAGAGUACCACGAGACACGAGAAACCUUGUGGGAAGUCGGAGGGACCACCCUCCAAGGCUAAAUACUCCUUAGUGACCGAUAGCGCAUAGUACUGUGAAGGAAAGGUGAAAAGGACCCCGGGAGGGGAGUGAAAAAGAACCUGAAACCCUGUGUUUACAAGCUGUGGAAGCACGUUAAGGUGCGACCGCGUACUUUUUGUAGAACGGUCCGGCGAGUUGCCGGUACUGGCAAGGUUAAGAGCUUAAGGCUCGGAGCCGAAGGGAAACCAAGUCUCAAAUGGGCGUCAAGUCAGUACAGGCAGACCCGAAACCGGGUGACCUAUCCAUGUCCAGGUUGAAGCGGAAGUAAAAUUCCGUGGAGGACCGGAUCCACAUCCGUUGAAAAGGGUGGGAAUGAGGUGUGGAUAGGGGAGAAAUUCCAAUCGAACCCGGAGAUAGCUGGUUCUCCUCGAAAUAGCUUUAGGGCUAGCCUCAUAUUAGUUUAGCGGAGGUAGAGCACUGAAUUCCUAAGGGGGCGUCAAAGCUUACCAAGGGAUAUCAAACUCCGAAUGCCGCAUAAAUGAUGUAUGGGAGUCAGACUGCACGAGAUAAGUUGGGUAGUCAAAAGGGAAAGAGCCCAGACCUACAGCUAAGGUCCCAAAGUGUGUGUUAAGUGGAAAAGGAUGUGGGAUUUCAAAGACAACUAGGAUGUUGGCUCAGAAGCAGCCACACAUUCAAAGAGUGCGUAAUAGCUCACUAGUCGAGAGGUCCUGCGCCGAAAAUGUCCGGGGCUGAAACACAACACCGAAGCUUAGGAAUGUAUGUAAGUACAUUGGUAGAGGAGCAUUCUUAGUGCGGAGAAGCGGUACCGAUAAGGAGCCGUGGAGCGUUAAGAAGAGAGAAUGCCGGAAUGAGUAGCGAGAUGGAGGUGGGAAUCCUCCAGGCCGAAUAUCCAAGGUUUCCAGAGUAAAGCUGAUCUGCUCUGGGUAAGUCGGGGCCUAAGGCGAGGCUGAGAGGCGUAGUCGAUGGACAACAGGUUGAAAUUCCUGUACCAUGUAUCAUCAGAACUGUGGGGACACAGAAGGACAACACAUCCCGGGAAUGGGAAUACCGGGGCAAGCGAGGUAGGAGUACGGUUGGCAAAUCCGCCGUGCAAUCCGAAGACGUGACGCGCAGCGAACUAAAGUAGCGAAGUGUGUGAUUCCGGCUGUCAAGAAAAGCCGCUAUUGUGUGAUACAUGCCCGUACCGUAAACCGACACAGGUAGAUGAGGAGAGAAUCCUAAGGCCGGCGGGAGAAGCAUUGUUAAGGAACUCGGCAAAAUGACCCCGUAACUUCGGGAGAAGGGGUGCCACAGAGAUGUGGCCGCAGAGAAUAGGCUCAAGCAACUGUUUAGCAAAAACACAGGUCUAUGCAAAACCGUAAGGUGAGGUAUAUGGGCUGACGCCUGCCCGGUGCUGGAAGGUUAAGAGGAGAGGUUAGCGCAAGCGAAGCUUUGAAUUUAAGCCCCAGUAAACGGCGGCCGUAACUAUAACGGUCCUAAGGUAGCGAAAUUCCUUGUCGGGUAAGUUCCGACCCGCACGAAAGGCGUAAUGAUUUGAGCGCUGUCUCAACAAUGCACCCGGUGAAAUUGAAAUACCAGUGAAGAUGCUGGUUACCUGCGCCAGGACGGAAAGACCCCAUGGAGCUUUACUCCAGUUUGAUACUGGGAUUCGGUAUUGCAUGUACAGGAUAGGUGGGAGGCUUUGAAACAUGGACGCCAGUCUGUGUGGAGCCAAUGUUGGGAUACCACCCUUGCGAUAUUGGGUUUCUAACCUGCGCCCGUGACCCGGGCGGGGGACAAUGUC